AGGAUGAACGCUAGCGGUUUGCCUAACACAUGCAAGUUGCACGGCGCCAUACCUCUCGGGGUAUGGUGCAGUGGCGGACGGGUGAGUAACGCGUAAGGACCUGCCCCUGGGAGGGGGAUAACAGCUGGAAACGGCUGCUAAUACCCCAUAGCCUGAGGAGGGAAAGGAGAGAUCCGCCCAGGGAGGGCUUGCGUCUGAUUAGCUAGUUGGGAGGGGUAAUGGCCUCCCAAGGCAACGAUCAGUUGCUGGUCUGAGAGGAUGAUCAGCCACACUGGGACUGAGACACGGCCCAGACUCCUACGGGAGGCAGCAGUGAGGAAUCUUCCGCAAUGGGCGAAAGCCUGACGGGGCAAUGCCGCGUGGAGGAUGAAGGCCCAAUGGGUCGUAAACUUCUUUAGAUCAGAGACGAAGAGAUGACGGUACCUGAAGAACUAAGCAUCGGCUAAACCCCGCGCCAGCAGCCGCGGUAA
rnacentral:rRNA from 1 species